GAUGAACGCUGGCGGCGUGCUUAACACAUGCAAGUCGAACGGAAAGGCUCCUGCUUGCAGGGGUACUCGAGUGGCGAACGGGUGAGUAACACGUGGGUGAUCUGCCCUGCACUUCGGGAUAAGCCUGGGAAACUGGGUCUAAUACCGGAUAGGACCACAUUUUGGAUGGUGUGGUGGAAAGUUUUUCGGUGUGGGAUGAGCUCGCGGCCUAUCAGCUUGUUGGUGGGGUAAUGGCCUACCAAGGCGUCGACGGGUAGCCGGCCUGAGAGGGUGUACGGCCACAUUGGGACUGAGAUACGGCCCAGACUCCUACGGGAGGCAGCAGUGGGGAAUAUUGCACAAUGGGCGCAAGCCUGAUGCAGCGACGCCGCGUGGGGGAUGACGGCCUUCGGGUUGUAAACUCCUUUCGCUAGGGACGAAGCGUUUUUGUGACGGCACCUGGAGAAGAAGCACCGGCUAACUACGUG
rnacentral:rRNA from 1 species